rnacentral:rRNA from 1 species
GACGAACGCUGGCGGCGUGCUUAACACAUGCAAGUCGAACGGAAAGGCCCUGCUUUUGUGGGGUGCUCGAGUGGCGAACGGGUGAGUAACACGUGAGUAACCUGCCCUUGACUUUGGGAUAACUUCAGGAAACUGGGGCUAAUACCGGAUAGGAGCUCCUGCUGCAUGGUGGGGGUUGGAAAGUUUCGGCGGUUGGGGAUGGACUCGCGGCUUAUCAGCUUGUUGGUGGGGUAGUGGCUUACCAAGGCUUUGACGGGUAGCCGGCCUGAGAGGGUGACCGGCCACCUUGGGACUGAGAUACGGCCCAGACUCCUACGGGAGGCAGCAGUGGGGAAUAUUGCACAAUGGGCGGAAGCCUGAUGCAGCAACGCCACGUGCGGGAUGACGGCCUUCGGGCUGUAAACCGCUUUCGCCUGUGACGAAGCGUGAGUGACGGUAAUGGGUAAAGAAGCACCGGCUAACUACGUG